AGGAGGGCUUUUAGUCGGUAGGCGCUCCCACCAGAAGUGAAUCCGACACUACCCCCUUUGGGGGUGUCUUUAGAAGAUUUCCCCUUCU
rfam:Agrilus planipennis Contig7714, whole genome shotgun sequence.